rnacentral:sRNA from 1 species
AGUCUCAUUGAGCCUGACUCGAGUAAUGAUUAACUGGCCGCCCGGAGCCCAGACGGGUGACAAGGUGCUGUGGUCUGUCUUACGAUGGGCAGUGAAGCCUGAGCAGACCAUUAAUAAUCAGCAUCAAGGCCGCGAGUCAGCCUUUUGGAAUGUGUGGUUUGUCUUUCAUGCUGUUUAGAGUGUGCUUAAAGAUGGAUCUUGGUGUUUUUAUUUGUGUAUUUAUUUCUUUCUCUCCCCUUUUCAAAUCCACAGCAGACUGUCCAGAUGCUGUGCCUUCCUCCGCUGAAACAGGGGGAACGAAUUAUCUGGCCCCUGGGGGGCUUUCAGAUUCCCAACUUCUUCUGGAGCCUGGGGAUCGGUCACACUGGUGCGUGGUGGCAUACUGGGAGGAGAAGACGAGAGUGGGGAGGCUCUACUGUGUCCAGGAGCCCUCUCUGGAUAUCUUCUAUGAUCUACCUCAGGGGAAUGGCUUUUGCCUCGGACAGCUCAAUUCGGACAACAAGAGUCAGCUGGUGCAGAAGGUGCGGAGCAAAAUCGGCUGCGGCAUCCAGCUGACGCGGGAGGUGGAUGGUGUGUGGGUGUACAACCGCAGCAGUUACCCCAUCUUCAUCAAGUCCGCCACACUGGACAACCCGGACUCCAGGACGCUGUUGGUACACAAGGUGUUCCCCGGUUUCUCCAUCAAGGCUUUCGACUACGAGAAGGCGUACAGCCUGCAGCGGCCCAAUGACCACGAGUUUAUGCAGCAGCCGUGGACGGGCUUUACCGUGCAGAUCAGCUUUGUGAAGGGCUGGGGCCAGUGCUACACCCGCCAGUUCAUCAGCAGCUGCCCGUGCUGGCUAGAGGUCAUCUUCAACAGCCGGUAGCCGCGUGCGGAGGGGACAGAGCGUGAGCUGAGCAGGCCACACUUCAAACUACUUUGCUGCUAAUAUUUUCCUCCUGAGUGCUUGCUUUUCAUGCAAACUCUUUGGUUGUUUUUUUUUUUUGUUGUUGUUGGUUGGUUUUCUUCUUCUCGUUCUCGUUUGUGUUCUGUUUUGUUUCGCUCUUUGAGAAAUAGCUUAUGAAAAGAAUUGUUGGGGGUUUUUUUGGAAGAAGGGGCGGGUAUGAUCGGCAGGACGCCGUGAUAGGAAGAGGGGAAGCAGAAAUCCAAGCACCACCAAACGCAGUGUAUGAAGGGGGGCAGUCAUCAUUUCACUUGUCAGGAGUGUGUGUGAGUGUGAGUGUGCGGCUGUGUGUGCACGUGUGUGCAGGAGCGGCAGUUGGGGAGAUGACGUGCUCUUUGUUUUGUAUCUCUUACGGAUGUCCCCAGCAGAGAGGUUUGCAGUCCCAAGCGGUGUCUCUCCUGCCCCUUGGACAUGCUCAGUGGGGCAGAGGCAGUACCUGGGCAAGCUGGCGGCGGGGGUUCCAGCAGCUGCCAGGAGCACGGCUCUGUCCCCAGCCUGGGAAAGCCCCCGCCCCUCUUCUCCCUCAUCAAGGACACAGGCCUGUCCACAGGCUUCUGAGCAGCGAGCCUGCUAGUGGCUGAACCAGAACCAAUUGUUUUCAUCCUUGUCUUAUUCCCUUCCCGCCAGCCCCUGCCAUUGUAGCGUCUUUCUUUUUUGGCCAUCUGCUCCUGGAUCUCCCUGAGAUGGGCUUCCCAAGGGCUGCCGGGGCAGCCCCCUCACAGUAUUGCUCACCCAGUGCCCUCUCCCCUCAGCCUCUCCCCUGCCUGCCCUGGUGACGUCAGGUUUUUCCCAGACUUAGAAAACCAGCUCAGCACUCCCUGCUCCCAGCCUCUGUGUUGAGCUCUGCUAUUAGGCCAGCAAGCGGGGACAUCCCUGGGAGGGACAUGCUUAGCGGUCCCCUUCCCUCCAAGAAGGAUUUGGUCCGUCAUAACCCAAGGUACCAUCCUAGGCUGACACCUAACUCUUCUUUCAUUUCUUCUACAACUCAUACACUCGUAUGAUACUUUGACACUGUUCUUAGCUCAAUGAGCAUGUUUAGACUUUAACAUAAGCUAUUUUUCUAACUACAAAGGUUUAAAUGAACAAGAGAAGCAUUCUCAUUGGAAAUUUAGCAUUGUAGUGCUUUGAGAGAGAAAGGACUCCUGAAAAAAAAACCUGAGAUUUAUUAAAGAAAAAAAUGUAUUUUAUGUUAUAUAUAAAUAUAUUAUUACUUGUAAAUAUAAAGACGUUUUAUAAGCAUCAUUAUUUAUGUAUUGUGCAAUGUGUAUAAAC